rnacentral:rRNA from 1 species
GCGGGUUCUCCCGCCAGAGGAUACAUCAAAACUCCUGUUUUAACGGUGUUGUCUGAGCUACAAGCAACGAAUCAAAACUUUCAACAACGGAUCUCUUGGUUCUGGCAUCGAUGAAGAACGCAGCGAAAUGCGAUAAGUAGUGUGAAUUGCAGAAUUCAGUGAAUCAUCGAAUCUUUGAACGCACAUUGCGCCCCUUGGUAUCCCGAGGGGCAUGCCUGUUCGAGCGUCAUUUCACCACUCAAGCCUGGCUUGGUGUUGGGCGACGUCCCCUUUAGGGACGCGCCUUGAAACGCUCGGCGGCGUGGCACCGGCUUUAAGCGUAGCAGAAUCUUUCGCUUUGAAAGUCGGGGCCCCGUCUGCCGGAAGACCUACUCGCAAGGUUGACCUCGGAUCAGGCAGGGAUACCCGCUGAACUUAAGCAUAUCAAUAAGCUGGAAUGGUUGUCUGCCGCAAGGCAAUAUUAAAUACAACUUUUAACGGCGGAUCUCUUGGCUCUCGCAUCGAUGAAAACGCAGCGAAAUGCGAUAAGUAAUGUGAAUUGCAGAAUUCAGUGAAUCAUCGAAUCUUUGAACGCACCUUGCGCUCCCUGGUAUUCCGGGGAGCACGCCUGUUCGAGUGUCAUGAAAUUCUCAAACAAGAUAGAUUUGUUUCUAUCUCUGUUUGGAUUUGGAUUUUGCCGCGUUAAUGCGGCUGGUCUUAAAUAUAUUAUCUGGUCCUAGAAAGGUUUGGUUUCUAAUCACCAUGAUAAUUAUCUGAUGUUGAGGGACAGUCUCACGACUGGCCACGACCUCUCUCUUAUGAUCGCUUGGAAUCGUCUUUGGACAAUUUACUCAAUAUUUGACCUCUAAUCACGUGGGAUUACCCCUCAACUUAACAUAUCAAUA